UACGUAGGGUGCAAGCGUUGUCCGGAAUUAUUGGGCGUAAAGAGCUCGUAGGCGGUUUGUCGCGUCGGCUGUGAAGACUCGGGGCUCAACCCCGAGCCUGCAGUCGAUACGGGCAAACUAGAGUGCGGUAGGGGAGGACUGGAAUUCCUGGUGUAGCGGUGAAAUGCGCAGAUAUCAGGAGGAACACCGGUGGCGAAGGCGGGUCUCUGGGCCGUAACUGACGCUGAGGAGCGAAAGCGUGGGGAGCAAACAGG
rnacentral:rRNA from 1 species